rnacentral:tRNA from 1 species
GCCGGGGUGGCGGAAUUGGUAGACGCGACGGACUUAAAAUCCGUUGAACUUAUACUUCGUGAGGGUUCGAGUCCCUCCCUCGGCA